UACAGAGGGUGCGAGCGUUAAUCGGAAUUACUGGGCGUAAAGCGCACGUAGGCGGCUUGGUAUGUCGGGUGUGAAAUCCCCGGGCUCAACCUGGGAACUGCAUCCGAAACUGAAUAGCUAGGGUACGGUAGAGGGAAGCGGAAUUUCCGGUGUAGCGGUGAAAUGCGUAGAUAUCGGAAGGAACAUCAGUGGCGAAAGCGGCUUCCUGGACCAGUACCGACGUUCAGGCACGAAAGCGUGGGGAGCAAACAGG
rnacentral:rRNA from 1 species